CAAUCGUAUGGUCUUGGUUACGAUGGUUUCAACGGGUACGGGAAUUAGGGUUCUAUUCCGGGAGAGGGAGCUGAGAAACGGCUACCACAUCCAAGGAAGGCAGCAGGGCGCAAAUUACCCAAUCCCGACACGGGAGGUAGUGACAAUAAAUAACAAUAUAGGGCUCUUUUGGGUCUUAUAAUUGGAAUGAGUACAAUUUAAAUCUCUUAACGAGGAACAAUUGGAGGGCAAGUCUGGUGCCAGAGCCGGGUAAUUCCAGCUCCAAUAGCGUAUAUUAAAGUUGUUGCAGUUAAAAAGCUCGUAGUUGAACUUCAGAUCUGGUUGAGUGGUCCGCCUAAGGUGUGUUAUUGGUUGAAUUGGGUCUUGUCUCUUGGUGAACCGGUUGUGUCCUUUAUUGGAUGCUUCGGGGAACCAGGACUUUUAC
rnacentral:rRNA from 1 species